rnacentral:rRNA from 1 species
UAGAGUUUGAUCCUGGCUCAGAUUGAACGCUGGCGGCAUGCCUUACACAUGCAAGUCGGACGGCAGCGCGGGCUUCGGCCUGGCGGCGAGUGGCGAACGGGUGAGUAAUACAUCGGAACGUGUCCUGGAGUGGGGGAUAGCCCGGCGAAAGCCGGAUUAAUACCGCAUACGCUCUGCGGAGGAAAGCGGGGGACCUUCGGGCCUCGCGCUCAAGGGGCGGCCGAUGGCAGGUUAGCUAGUUGGUGGGGUAAAGGCCUACCAAGGCGACGAUCUGUAGCUGGUCUGAGAGGACGACCAGCCACACUGGGACUGAGACACGGCCCAGACUCCUACGGGAGGCAGCGGUGGGGAAUUUUGGACAAUGGGGGCAACCCUGAUCCAGCAAUGCCGCGUGUGUGAAGAAGGCCUUCGGGUUGUAAAGCACUUUUGUCCGGAAAGAAAGCGUCCUGGCUAAUACCUGGGGCGGAUGACGGUACCGGAAGAAUAAGCACCGGCUAACUACGUGCCAGCAGCCGCGGUAAUACGUAGGGUGCGAGCGUUAAUCGGAAUUACUGGGCGUAAAGCGUGCGCAGGCGGUUCGCUAAGACCGAUGUGAAAUCCCCGGGCUUAACCUGGGAACUGCAUUGGUGACUGGCGGGCUAGAGUAUGGCAGAGGGAGGUAGAAUUCCACGUGUAGCAGUGAAAUGCGUAGAGAUGUGGAGGAAUACCGAUGGCGAAGGCAGCCUCCUGGGCCAAUACUGACGCUCAUGCA